AUGGAGAUUCCCAUGGGGACCCAGGGCUGCUUCUCAAAGAGCCUCCUGCUCUCAGCCCUUCCCUGUAACUUCCCACAGCCUCAAUCCUGGUCCUCUGGAUGCUCCAAGGCUCCCAGGCAGCUCUCUACAUCCAGAAGAUUCCAGAGCAGCCUCAAAAGAACCAGGACCUUCUCCUGUCAGUCCAGGGUGUCCCAGACACCUUCCAGGACUUCAACUGGUACCUGGGGGAGGAGACGUACGGAGGCACGAGGCUAUUUACCUACAUCCCUGGGAUACAACGGCCUCAGAGGGAUGGCAGUGCCAUGGGACAGCGAGACAUCGUGGGCUUCCCCAAUGGUUCCAUGCUGCUGCGCCGCGCCCAGCCUACAGACAGUGGCACCUACCAAGUAGCCAUUACCAUCAACUCUGAAUGGACUAUGAAGGCCAAGACUGAGGUCCAGGUAGCUGAUUGAAAAAUGGAGGCACGCAGUGGUUAUGACUUGCUGAGUAAAGAAUACGAACCAGAAUGAUGUGACAUGGGAAAGGAGGUCAUCAGGGAGACCUCACUCAAGAAGUGACCUUAGAGGAGAGACCAGAAGAAGGAUGGCGACCACAGAGAAGCCAGAAUUGGGCCCUGCUCAUGAUGCUGGUGACAACAACAUCUAUGAAGUGAUGCCCUCUCCAGUCCUCCUGGUGUCCCCCAUCAGUGACACAAGGUCCAUAAACCCAGCCCGGCCCCUGCCCACACCCCCACACCUGCAGGCGGAGCCAGAGAACCACCAGUACCAGCAGGACCUGCUAAACCCCGACCCUGCCCCCUACUGCCAGCUGGUGCCAACUUCCUGAUGGGUCCUGGGCCAGGCCAGCCAGGGAGAAGACAAGGCCCCAGCCCUCCUCUGGGAGCCUCACACCUGAGACCAGCAGGACAAGGCCAUUGGGGGCUGUGGGGCCGAUGAGGUGGACUCAGCCAAAGACUCAGCAGCACAUGGGGCAGGUGUCCUGGCAGGGGGACAGGAGACUGUAACAGGCCCAGGUCCUUGUGCAGCCCGUGAAUGCACGCCCGCCUUCGGUCUGUUCCUUCAAGCAAGCUGGCCUGGGCCAUGUGCCUGUGAAAGGCAGGCUCUGGCCCCUUUCCAUGCCAAAGUCCCCCAAGAUCUGGAUAUCUGGGGACAAGAUGGUGGCCUCAGGCCUGCCUCCCAGGCAGUUGGCUGGGCUCCCAACUGUCUGUCCUCAAUGCCCUACCCCAACUCCACUAGUGACCCUCAGAGUCUUCUCCCCUUAGGACAAGGCAGACACCCCACCAUGCGGGCCUCAGGUGGCAGAGAGGCCCAGCCUCACAGGCCUGUGGCCCCACACACCAGUCCCAGCAAGGUGACCACGGCUGCUGGACCCCUUCCCUGUUCAGGCAGGCCCAGCCCCUCUCAGAACCUGCUGCCAGCUGCUGGUCUUGGCCCCCACCCUGAAUCUUACUGAGUCCCUCUGGGCAGCAGCUCCCUUCUCCACCCCACCCCAGCACCCGUCCCAAAUGUGGCCUCAGCUUGUCCUCCCCUUCCCCAAACUAUGCAUUCAUUCAGCAAUAAAUGAGCCUUUGCUGUAUGCCAGACCCAGUUCUAGGCUCUUGCAGCCCUGGUAGAAAGCAAAACAAAAACUCCCGCUUUCCCAGAGGGUCACUUGGCAGGGGAAAGAAUCAGGAAAUAAAAUAAAUAAUGAA
rnacentral:misc_RNA from 1 species